GACGAACGCUGGCGGCGUGCAUAACACAUGCAAGUCACGGGGGCCAGCAAUGGCAACCGGCGAACGGGUGCGUAACACGUAAGCGACCUACCUCGAUGUGGGGCAUAGCCGGCCUAACGGCCGGGUAAUUCCGCAUGUGAUCCUUGAGGGGCAUAUCUCGGGGAUGAAACCAGUAAUGGGCAUUGAGAGGGGCUUGCGGCCUAUCAGCUUGUUGGCGGGGUAACGGCNCACCAAGGCGACGACGGGUAGCUGGUCUGAGAGGAUGGCCAGCCACAUUGGGACUGAGAAACGGCCCAGACUCCUACGGGAGGCAGCAGGUGGGGAAUCUUGCGCAAUGGCCUAACGGCUGACGCAGCGACGCCGCGUGAGGGAUGAAGCUCC
rnacentral:rRNA from 1 species